rnacentral:rRNA from 1 species
UACGGGGGGGCAAGGCGUUGUUCGGAAUUACUGGGCGUAAAGGGUUCGUAGGUUGCCAACUAAGUCAUACGUGAAAUCCCUCAGCUUAACUGGGGAACUGCGUCUGAUACUGGUUGGCUUGAGUGCAGGAGAGGAACGCGGAAUUCCAGGUGUAGCGGUGAAAUGCGUAGAUAUCUGGAGGAACACCGGUGGCGAAGGCGGCGUUCUGGACUGCAACUGACACUGAGGAACGAAAGCCAGGGGAGCAAACGGG